rnacentral:rRNA from 1 species
UACGUAUGUGGCAAGCGUUGUCCGGAUUUAUUGGGCGUAAAGCGCGCGCAGGCGGUCCUUUAAGUCUGAUGUGAAAUCUCGCGGCUCAACCGCGAGCGGUCAUUGGAAACUGGGGGACUUGAGUGCAGAAGAGAAGAGCGGAAUUCCACGUGUAGCGGUGAAAUGCGUAGAGAUGUGGAGGAACACCAGUGGCGAAGGCGGCUCUUUGGUCUGUAACUGACGCUGAGGCGCGAAAGCGUGGGGAGCGAACAGG